AUGUGCCGAUGUUUCGUGGAUCAGAAUCAGCUUUUUCAAACAAUCCCUGGCUGACUGGUGACCAUUCCUGCAAUGAUCUGGAUGAUUGACUGAUAGAUGCAUCAAACAUCAUGAAGACAACCUGUAUAGGGCCAGCUGUCAUGCUGGUUAUUGCAUGCUGUUCAGCUUGUGUUAAUGCUACUAAAUUUAAGGUGUCCAAACAGUGAGUGAAUGUCAGCGACAACCUUCAACACGAGGAUGCAAACCAAAGAUAGACGGGUCCUACAGUGUUCAGUCAGUUCAAACCAAAAUCUCUACUGCA